AUUGAACGCUGGCGGCAGGCCUAACACAUGCAAGUCGAACGAGCGGCGGACGGGUGAGUAAUGUAUGGGAAACUGCCUGAUGGAGGGGGAUAAAUACUGGAAACGGUAGCUAAUACCGCAUACCAUCGGAUGUACCCAUAUGGGAUUAGCUUGUAGGUGGGGUAAAGGCUCACCUAGGCGACGGUCCCUAGCUGGUCUGAGAGGAUGACCAGCCACACUGGAACUGAGACACGGUCCAGACGCCUACGGGAGGCAGCAGUGUGGAAUAUUGCACAAUGGGCGCAAGCCUGAUGCAGCCAUGCCGCGUGUAUGAAGAAGGCCUUCGGGUUGUAAAGUACUUUCAGUGGGGAGGCGUUACCCACAGAAGAAGCACCGGCUAACUCCGUGCCAGCAGCCGCGGUAAUAC
rnacentral:rRNA from 1 species